rnacentral:rRNA from 1 species
UACGGAGGGUGCAAGCGUUAUCCGGAUUUACUGGGUUUAAAGGGAGCGUAGGUGGGUCGGUAAGGUCAGUGGUGAAAUCUUCGAGCUUAACUCGGAAACUGCCAUUGAUACUAUCGAUCUUGAAUUAUCUGGAGGUAAGCGGAAUAUGUCAUGUAGCGGUGAAAUGCUUAGAUAUGAACAUAGAACACCCAUUGCGAAGGCAGCUUACUACGGAUAUAUUGACACUGAGGCUACGAAAGCGUGGGGAUCAAACAGGA